rnacentral:rRNA from 1 species
UUGAUCCUGGCUCAAAUUGAACGCUGGCGGCAGGCCUAACACAUGCAAGUCGAACGGUAAAGCAGCUUGCUGCUUACGAGUGGCGGACGGGUGAGUAAUGUCUGGGAAACUGCCUGAUGGAGGGGGAUAACUACUGGAAACGGUAGCUAAUACCGCAUAACGUCGCAAGACCAAAGAGGUUAGUCUUGCCAUCGGAUGUGCCCAGAUGGGAUUAGCUAGUAGGUGGGGUAACGGCUCACCUAGGCGACGAUCCCUAGCUGGUCUGAGAGGAUGACCAGCCACACUGGAACUGAGACACGGUCCAGACUCCUACGGGAGGCAGCAGUGGGGAAUAUUGCACAAUGGGCGCAAGCCUGAUGCAGCCAUGCCGCGUGUAUGAAGAAGGCCUUCGGGUUGUAAAGUACUUUCAGCGGGGAGGAAGGGAGUAAAGUAAUCUUUGCUCUUGACGUUACCCGCAGAAGAAGCACCGGCUAACUCCGUGCCAGCAGCCGCGGUAAUACGGAGGGUGCAAGCGUUAAUCGGAAUUACUGGGCGUAAAGCGCACGCAGGCGGUUUGUUAAGUCAGAUGUGAAAUCCCCGGGCUCAACCUGGGAACUGCAUCUGAUACUGGCAAGCUUGAGUCUCGUAGAGGGGGGUAGAAUUCCAGGUGUAGCGGUGAAAUGCGUAGAGAUCUGGAGGAAUACCGGUGGCGAAGGCGGCCCCCUGGACGAGACUGACGCUCAGGUGCGAAAGCGUGGGGAGCAA